rnacentral:rRNA from 1 species
GACGAACGCUGGCGGCGUGCUUAACACAUGCAAGUCGAGCGGUAAGGCCCUUUCGGGGGUACACGAGCGGCGAACGGGUGAGUAACACGUGGGUGACCUGCCCUCAGCUCUGGGAUAAGCCUGGGAAACUGGGUCUAAUACUGGAUAUGACUCCACGGUGCAUGUCGUGGGGUGGAAAGCCUUGUGCGGCUGAGGAUGGGCCCGCGGCCUAUCAGCUUAUUGGUGGGGUGAUGGCCUACCAAGGCGACGACGGGUAGCCGGCCUGAGAGGGCGACCGGCCACACUGGGACUGAGACACGGCCCAGACUCCUACGGGAGGCAGCAGUGGGGAAUCUUGCGCAAUGGGCGAAAGCCUGACGCAGCGACGCCGCGUGAGGGAUGACGGCCU